ACCGUGCGAAAGUGGGGGGCAACCGAGACAUUCGUAAUGUGCGCAAGGCCAAAAACCGCCGCCAGGACUGGGAGCGCCUCAAAAUGGGAAAGGAGUUCAUAGCGGACAGCAAACUGCUGCUGCUGCAGCAGCAGGGCUCUGGGACCAGUGAGCCAACGACUUCUCCCGUACCUCCAUCCAUGGCACCGCCCCCUCGCCCCUGGACGGCCAAUCGGCUUACAGCUCGCCCGGGUAUGGGCACGGCCAGGCCUUCAACGGGGACCUGCCGCCUCCACCCCCAGCCGAUUAUAGCACGGCAGACUCCCACCCCAGCCCUCUGCACCCUCCAACCUCCUCCCCCUUCCCACCCUCCGUCCCUCCGCCCCCUCCGCCCAUGUCCUGGAGCUCUCCCG